GGCUCAGGAUGAACGCUGGCGGCGUGCCUAAUACAUGCAAGUCGAACGCACAGCGAAAGGUGCUUGCAUCUUUCAAGUGAGUGGCGAACGGGUGAGUAACACGUGGAUAACCUACCUCAAGGUUGGGGAUAACAUUUGGAAACAGAUGCUAAUACCGAAUAAAACUUCGUAUCGCAUGAUACAGGUUAAAAGGCGCUACGGCGUCACCUAGAGAUGGGAUCCGCGGUGCAUUAGUUAGUUGGUGGGGUAAAGGCCUACCAAGACAAUGAUGCAUAGCCGAGUUGAGAGACUGAUCGGCCACAUUGGGACUGAGACACGGCCCAAACUCCUACGGGAGGCUGCAGUAGGGAAUCUUCCACAAUGGGCGAAAGCCUGAUGGAGCAACGCCGCGUGUGUGAUGAAGGCUUUCGGGUCGUAAAGCACUGUUGUAUGGGAAGAACAGCUAGAGUAGGGAAUGACUUUAGUUUGACGGUACCAUACCAGAAAGGGACGGCUAAAUACGUG
rnacentral:rRNA from 1 species